AUUGAACGCUGGCGGCAGGCCUAACACAUGCAAGUCGAGCGGAUGAGUGGAGCUUGCUCCAUGAUUCAGCGGCGGACGGGUGAGUAAUGCCUAGGAAUCUGCCUAGUGGUGGGGGAUAACGUUCGGAAACGGACGCUAAUACCGCAUACGUCCUACGGGAGAAAGCGGGGGGAUCUUCGGACCUCGCGCCAUUAGAUGAGCCUAGGUCGGAUUAGCUAGUUGGUGAGGUAAUGGCUCACCAAGGCGACGAUCCGUAACUGGUCUGAGAGGAUGAUCAGUCACACUGGAACUGAGACACGGUCCAGACUCCUACGGGAGGCAGCAGUGGGGAAUAUUGGACAAUGGGCGAAAGCCUGAUCCAGCCAUGCCGCGUGAGUGAUGAAGGCCUUAGGGUUGUAAAGCUCUUUUACCAGGGAUGAUAAUGACAGUACCUGGAGAAUAAGACUCCGGCUAACUCCGUGCCAGCAGCCGCGGUAAAGUG
rnacentral:rRNA from 1 species